ensembl:lncRNA
UUUUAAUGAAUUUUAUUAGCAAAUUAUGGUGGAAAAUAAGUAUUUGGUCAAUAACAAAAGUUUAUCUCAAUACUUUGUUAUAUACCCAUUGUUGGCAAUGACAGAGGUCAAACGUUUUCUGUAAGUCUUCACAAGGUUUUCACACACUGUUGCUGCCUCUCUCAUCUUUUUAAGUGGGAGAACUUGCACAAUUGGUGGCUGACUAAAUACUUUUUUUUGCCCCACUGUAAAUGUAGUCAGUUACGGUGCCAAGAGAAACAAACAGUGUUGAUGGAUUAAAUAUUAGCUUUUUAUUUGCUGAAAAAACAACGAUAACAAGAGAUCAAUGGUUAACACUGUUUCAACUAGAGAAAGACCAGACUGGAGCUCGAAACAGACAAUCUUUACAGGAAAUAACCUACAGAGAAUAACAGGAGAACAGUGUUAUGGCAAGGUGGAGAUGGAAGGGCUGUGUAGAGCUUGACUAGGGAGGAGUUGAGGAAUCAACACUCUCAUAAGGAAAGAAUCUAACUUGGCAUCAAAGUCACUGGGGGUAUUGAAGGCACUGGGGGUCAUUGGAGAAGAGAAAGGGAGAAGGGAUGGGAGAUAUAGGAGAAGGAAUGGGAGAGGGGGGUAUAGGAGAAGGGAUGGGAGAGGGGGGUAUAGGAGAAGGAAUGGGAGGGGGGGGGGAUAGGAGAAGGGAUGGGAGAGGGGGUAUAGGAGAAGGGAUGGGAGAUAUAGGAGAAGGGAGAAGGGGGGAUAGGAGAAGGGAUGGGAGGGGGGGGGUAUAGGAGAAGGGAUGGGAGAGGGGGGUAUAGGAGAAGGAGAAGGGAUAUAGGAGAAGGGAUGGGAGGGGCCACUGUGCUAUAGGGCUAAAGGUGAUAACAGAUUAACAAGACAUUCACUCACAUUUCUCCUGUUUCCUCUCAUUGUGCAACACAGUCAUUUCUUUUUUUACAACAGUCAAAUAACAUCAACAUAUACAUUUAUAUAAAACAAAUUCAUGAAUGUUAAUGUAUAAUGUUAAAAACAGUCCUUUAUAUCACUUGGUGUCUCUUCAGUUCCUUACCUGUGGUCCUACUGAGGUUGCCAGGACAACAGCACCACCAUGUGGUGAAAAGAACAACCAGCAGCGUGUGAUGUGUGGCAGUGUUUCUCAGUAAGGAUCCUGGGGACCCACUGUGUUUAGGCUGGCUCAGCAUCAAUUAAACACUAAUUAGUACAUGGACAACUGCAUGACGGGUCUGCAGUUUGUGCUACUGAAAGGGGCCUUGGAGCCCAGCACGGCUCAACAAAAAAUUCAGCCAAACAGUGCUGGUGUGGUUCGCUACAUUCCCUUUAUCUCAAAAACAUAAAACACAAAAAAACCACUGAACCAAUUAACAAAUAGUCAUUAAUAAUCAUAUUCAUGAGCGGAAUAAAAACAAUAACAAACUCAGUUCUACCAAGCUGUUUUUCUAGCUGAGGCAAGCCCGAAGAAGUCGCAGCCUGAUGAUGUCACUGAAUGUCUACUACAUCCCAGGAGCAGAAUGGUUUCUC